GCUUCUCUUUUGCGUGAGAGAGUAAAGGACACUUUGACUCACUUGAGAUCCCUAGACAUGUUAAAAAAAAAAGUGGAAGAAAAAAGUACAAGAAAACACACUCAUGGAACUGCUGAGGUGACGUAACCAGGGAAACCCUGGAAUUGAAAACCUGUCUUCCUGUAAGUGCCUAGCAUGCCAUCAGAGACCCCCUAACUGCUCCAAGUGGGAAGAGCAGUUCAUUCCUUGGUUGUGGCCCUUGUGGAAGCAACUUGCAAAACAUGAUGAAAAAUAUGCCUGCAGAUCUGUGUACCAUUGCAGAGAUGAGUCUAGAGGGAUUUCAUCCAUCAAAUAGAACAAUAAAAUGACUUUUGAUCUUUAUGAAAGUGGUGAAAGAAUGGAAAUAAAAAAAAAAAAGGAAAAGGAGCAGCAUAGAAGGUAAGAAAUAGUGGAGAAUACACCAGGAAUUCCUGCAAUAUUUUACGCUUAAAAAUAUGCACACUUGGGUUGUGAACUGCUUCACAAUUGUUAGAGAACCUUUCUCAAAAUGUCCUGAAAUGUCAGGGGCCCAAGAAACUCAUUUCUUUUUAGACUGGAAUCUGGCAAUAGAGGAAACUCAAUAGAAAUGCCCGUAGGAAUGUUUUAAAGAAAUAGUGGACACGUAAUGCAAAGCACUGGUGCCACAGGUGCCAUUCAGGUAUCUCCAGGUACGGUUCAAAUGUCCAAAGACUGCCUAAGUUUGAAAAUGGCAAUGAGAAAUUUUGUGCCAGAGCAGAUAUCUCAUGUACUAUGACAAACUUGAUAGAAAUGCAGUCUUCUGCCCAGAUCCAAUUCAGAUCAAAUUUGUACUGUCUGAUGGUGGAGAGACAUGGAAUGUGUGGCUGUGGUGGGAGACUCUAUUCUAGCCCUCCCAGUGUUGAAUAUCCUAGUUCUAUGUCACAUAGAACAGACAAUAGAAUAGGAAGAUAGGGCCGAUGUGUCCACAUCUGCCACCUGAAAGUUAUUUAUCUGGCCUAGGGGAAAUUUCUGAAAGAUACGCUUCAUGCUUCUCUUAUGGCCAAACUGCACUGCAGAGAAUUGAUUUAUUAAAACAUGACAGAAGUGGGAGGGUAGGGGGAGGCACUGGGAUGGGGUAUGUUUCUCUUGAAAUAAGGUAAUUUGGUUGUGUUAUGGUGGGACUCUGCCAUGGAAAAUUAGUCCUGAACAGGAUCUUUAGAGAGCAUUGAACCAUCUUUCCUUUGGAAGGCAAGUGCAACUAUAUCAACAUCAUCCCUGACAGAUGUAUCUGACCCCUUCUUAAAGGUAUCCAGAGAUGGAGGCUCUGAGUUGGGGCCUCAAAGAUUAAAUAAGCAUUAACAUGCUGGAGCAA